rnacentral:rRNA from 1 species
GACGAACGCUGGCGGCGUGCUUAACACAUGCAAGUCGAACGGAAAGGCCCUGCUUUUGUGGGGUGCUCGAGUGGCGAACGGGUGAGUAACACGUGAGUAACCUGCCCUUGACUUUGGGAUAACUUCAGGAAACUGGGGCUAAUACCGGAUAGGAGCUCCUGCUGCAUGGUGGGGGUUGGAAAGUUUCGGCGGUUGGGGAUGGACUCGCGGCUUAUCAGCUUGUUGGUGGGGUAGUGGCUUACCAAGGCUUUGACGGGUAGCCGGCCUGAGAGGGUGACCGGCCACAUUGGGACUGAGGUACGGCGCAGACUGCUACGGGAGGCAGCAGUGGGGAAUAUUGCACAAUGGGCGGAAGCCUGAUGCAGCAACGCCGCGUGCGGGAUGACGGCCUUCGGGUUGUAAACCGCUUUCGCCUGUGACGAAGCGUGAGUGACGGUAAUGGGUAAAGAAGCACCGGCUAACUACGUG